GUCGUACGAGCUCAUACUCGUGGUGAAUAGCUCAGUAACACGUGGCCAAACUACCCUUCGGAGAACCAUACCCUCAGGAAACUGAGGCUAAUAGUUCAUACCAUACCACCACAGGAAUGAGUGGUAUGCCAAACGCUCCGGCGCCGAAGGAUGUGGCUGCGGCCGAUUAGGUAGACGGUGGGGUAACGGCCCACCGUGCCAAUAAUCGGUAUGGGUCAUGAGAGUGAGAACCCAGAGACGGAAUCUGAGACAAGAUUCCGGGCCCUACGGGGCGCAGCAGGCGCGAAACCUUUACACUGCACGACAGUGCGAUAGGGGGAUCCCAAGUGCACAGGCAUAGCGCCUGUGCUUUUCGGUACCCUAAGGCGGUGCCAGAAUAAGGGCUGGGCAAGACCGGUGCCAGCCGCCGCGGUAAUACCGGCAGCCCAAGUGAUGGCCGAUCUUAUUGGGCCUAAAGCGUCCGUAGCUGGCCGCGCAAGUCCAUCGGGAAAUCCACCUGCUCAACAGGUGGGCGCCCGGUAGAAACUGCGUGGCUUGGGACCGGAAGGCGCGACGGGUACGUCCGGGGUAGGAGUGAAAUCCCGUAAUCCUGGACGGACCGCCGAUGGCGAAAGCACGUCGCGAGAACGGAUCCGACAGUGAGGGACGAAAGCUAGGGUCUCGAACCGGAUUAGAUACCCGGGUAGUCCUAGCCGUAAACAAUGCCUGCUAGGUGUGGCUCCCACUACGAGUGGGUGCUGUGCCGUAGGGAAGCCGCUAAGCAGGCCGCCUGGGGGAGUACGUCCGCAAGGAUGAAACUUAAAGGAAUUG
rnacentral:rRNA from 1 species